rnacentral:lncRNA from 1 species
AUGCCUUUGCGUUUCUCCUCGUCUUUCUUUAAAGGGACCCAGUUGAAGACUCUUUUCCUUGGAUUUGACAGAAUCUCAGCUAUGACCAGUAUUUGCAAGCAGCUUGAGGAGUCAUUUACUUCUCUUUCUCUCUUCCUAACACCUCCUAGUAUAGGACUGUUGCUGCAGUUCAGUUGGAUACCUCUUUUGGAUGACCCACCUAGUGAUGGAGGAGAGGACAGGCUACAAUCUUCCUUUCCAGAAGGCCUGCUGGAUGGCCCUAGGGACCUAGACCUUGCCUCUGGAUGAAGUCAGAAGAGCCGUACCCUCUUACAGGGACUUCCUAUUGGUCUUCUUGGGACUAAGUCUAGCAAAAUAAAUACUAUACCAAUGACAGUUUUUUGUUUGUUUUGGGGGGUUAUUUUGGCCAUGCCAUGCAGCAUGUGGGAUCUUGGUUCCCUGACCAGGGAUUGAACUGAUAAUCCCUGCAGUGGAAACAUGGAGUCUUAACCACUGGACCACCAGGGAACUCCUACCAAUGACAGUUUUAAAAUUCCUUUUGGAAGUGGAAAGAAGGGUCCACCAUGGAAGUCCAGGGUUCUGCAAUAAGGGCUCCCUGUCUCACUUUGGGGAGGCCAUGUGGCUUAGUGGAAAGCCUCUUAAAGUAAACAGUUUCUAUGGAUGAUCAGUUUUGGCUAUGUGGCUGCUCUGUGAAAGGAGAUUAAUAAAACUUACAUCAGAACACAGAAUUACUGCAGAACUUGCAUUGUUCUAAGAAUGAAAUGAGUUGAUGCACAGAAAGCUCCCUGAACAGUGCCAAGACUACAAUGGAUUUUCAGUGAAGGAACAUUGUACUCUGCACUUUCAACCAUCUUGCACAACUUCUAGAACAAUUUAUCUUAAGAAAUGAUCAAGAAUUUUGGACUACUUGUCUCUGAAAUUAACAUAUUGGAUUGAACAUCAGACAUUUUGCUCUAUUCCUCCUGCCUUGAACCUCGUCCCUAGCCUUGGUUUCUACCACCUCUGAUAUCUGCUGUUGGCCAAACCUCUUCCAGGAAGGCUUGGC